CUGCCGGUGACAAACCGGAGGAAGGGGGGACGACGUCAAGUCAUCAUGGCCCUUACGGGUAGGGCUACACACGUGCUACAAUGGCCGGUACAAUGGGUUGCAAAGCGGCGACGUGGAGCUAAUCUCAUAAAGCCGGUCUCAGUCCGGAUCGGAGUCUGCAACUCGACUCCGUGAAGUCGGAAUCGCUAGUAAUCGUGCAUCAGAAUGGCACGGUGAAUACGUUCCCGGGCCUUGUACACACCGCCCGUCACACCAUGGGAGUGGACUGCACCAGAAGUGGUUAGCCUAUCUGUAGGUCGGCGUGCACACCAACAGGUUGU
rnacentral:rRNA from 1 species